UGCCUUUUGGUUUUCUUUUCCAUUCAGAGUGAUAUUCUCUUACAUCUGGGAAACUGUUGCAAUGCAUCAGUCAAAGGACAUGAGACCUCUUUUUUAUGUGUCUAGCUAUCAAACGUGGGUCAUAAAAUUUGUGUAACCAGUAGCCUCAUAUUUUUAUAGAAUAAUAAUUUUAUUGCUGCUUUAACCAGUGGCCUCAUGUUCUUUUCUGGAAACUCCUCAUUUUUGUAUGUGAGAUAAAUUAUACAUUAUAUGCUGAAUAUAUACCCUUGCUUGUAUCUGUAUGUAAGUGAAUCUAUAUAGGCUUUGUUGUAUCUGAACUAAAGAUGUUAGCCUUCCCUUGCUGACGUGUUUGCUGAGUGAAGUCAUGAGUGCAAAUUAACGAAAGAAACAUCGCUCCGAACAUGAAUCAGUCUGAUUGAACCUUGGUUCUGCUGUUUACUAUGCUGCAGUUAAACUAGUGUUUUUUUUUCGUUGGGCAGGUUAAGUAAGAACCUUGUUAAUCAUCGUGACCAGUUAUGGUUCUUGUUGAUUUUCUCCCUGGCCAUGAGUAGUUGAACUGUGUUUGCCCAAGUUGUAGUUGAGCUUGAGCACACCUCUGGAACUGGAAAAUGUGGGAGUUGAAUAGCAGAAUUAUUAUGCAAUGCAUGUGUUUUUGUAACAUGCUUGAUUAGGCUACUUGGAACCUAAGAGUUGCAGGGCUCUUCAACAUGCAUGCCAAAGGAUUCAACAGCUUUGAGAUAUUCGAUCUCAUGUCACCAACGUUCAGAGCAUGGACCAACAGAAAACCAAAUAACGUGAGAAGAUUUUAAAGAUAUUGAACUCAUGUCCGCCAUGUUCAGGGCUCUUCUGGAUCCUGAAGAUUAAUUAAAAUACCAAUAGUUGUCUUGCUCUGCAUUAUCCUCUGAACAGUCAAUCUAUUCAUCCUUCUGUGCAUUUGCGUUGUGUCUUGAUUAUUAUACAACUGGUUUUGUUUUAAGGCUGUAAUCGAAGGAUCAUAACAGUUAUACAACCAUGAAGUGUAAUACUGUCCCCAUGGAUUAUCCUCUGAACUUCUGAA